AUUGAACGCUGGCGGCAGGCCUAACACAUGCAAGUCGAGCGGAUGAAGGGAGCUUGCUCCUGGAUUCAGCGGCGGACGGGUGAGUAAUGCCUAGGAAUCUGCCCGGCAGUUGGGGAUAACGUCCGGACACGGGCGCUAAUACCGCAUACGUCCUGAGGGAGAAAGUGGGGGAUCUUCGGACCUCACGCUAUCAGAUGAGCCUAGGUCGGAUUAGCUAGUUGGUUGGGUAAAGGCCUACCAAGGCGACGAUCCGUAACUGGUCUGAGAGGAUGAUCAGUCACACUGGAACUGAGACACGGUCCAGACUCCUACGGGAGGCAGCAGUGGGGAAUAUUGGACAAUGGGCGAAAGCCUGAUCCAGCCAUGCCGCGUGUGUGAAGAAGGUCUUCGGAUUGUAAAGCACUUUAAGUUGGGAGGAAGGGCAGUAAGUUAAUACCUUGCUGUUUUGACGUUACCAACAGAAUAAGCACCGGCUAACUUCGUG
rnacentral:rRNA from 1 species